rnacentral:lncRNA from 1 species
GCGGCCACCGCUCACGAGCCCUCUUCUCUCAAGGUCACCGCUGCUCCCCAUCCACCUGAAACCCGCGAGCGCUCAUGACCCUCCCCUCUCAAGCCCGAUGCCGUUCACAUCCGUGCUUCUCCCCCAACCAGCUAGAUCCCGACCUCCCCACUAGCGAGCUCCGCCGCCCCUCUGCCAUAUUGCUCCUCCGACCUGCUCCAGCCCACCCCCUCGACCAGCGAGCUCCACCACCGGCCGCUGCUCCUCUGUCGUGCUGCUACGUACUCGGUACUCCGGCCUGCUCCACCGAUUAGUGAGCUCGGCCACUGAACGCAGCUCUUGUGUCGUGUUGCUUCUCUAGCCAAAGGUUUUCUCUCAAUUUUUAUACAUCUAAUCCCCUCCUAUGAUUCUAGCUGAAGCGGCUUGUUGAAUUAUUCUGGAAUCUUUUAUGCGCUUUUCUAUUGAGUGCCUUUGUUUUCAACUAGAAGAUGUGCCUAUGUUUAAUUCUGAAAUCUAAAUGCAAUCUUAUGUUGUUCCAUCGAGAUUUAUUUUCAGAAGGUGUAUAUCUAAUGUUUCUCACUGCAGCUUUAAGCUUCACUGUCAUCUAACUUUGUAUAGUUAAUUUUUGUUGUCUGUCUUUGAACCUAUAAAACUUGGGUGUUCUGUACACUUGUCGUUUCCUACAUGUGUUUCUUGAACAUGUCUAAAUUUUUUAUAAGAAAUGCAGUUCUGAACUCGGUCAAUUGUAGGAUGACUAGACACAUAGUACAUAUGAUUUGAGAUGUAUAUGUAUGCAAUUUCACCCUUUGCUAAAAAACGUGCUAUACAAUGUCAGAUUUUGUGAAGCCACCGUGAGCUAGGGGUUGCACCGCAGGAGCAUAGCCUGUACAAGUACUGAACAUUGAAGAUUGCAUCGCAGCCUGUACGAGUAUGCCUUCCUUGCAAUCUUUGAAGCCUAUUAAAUUCUGAAAUGUUAUUUUUUUUCUAUACAGGUUUAUUUUGUGUAAAGUACUUGUUAAUUGAUGUGUUGAGGGGUGCUCAUAUACUUCCUCAACAACAUGGGAUGCUGAAGAUGUUAGUGGAUUGUGUUGGGCAUUCUAGCUUCUAUAGCUUGGCCACACUUAAGUGUACAGGCUAGACUCUGAUUAUUUCCUUGCAUGUUUGGGUACUGAUACACACAUGAUUCAUUGCCUCAGUAUUGUUCAUCCUCUUUAUUUCAGAUUGUGAAUGAAGAAAGGGCAACGAAGAUAUCUAAGGUUCAGCAUGGUCAGCAAAGUAUGUUUUUAGUCAAAAAUUAUUACCUAUGGUGCAUGGUUUACCUUUUCUUUUACUGAAUGGGUUAAUGGAGUUCACUGAAAACUUGACAUUAUAGCUGGAUGUGACAUAGUCACUUUUUCCUGAAGUAGCAACAAGUGACCUUUUUCUUUGAGUUUCAAUCUUGUGGCCCCUGACAUUAACAAAUAAAUUUAACAGGUUGUUAUUUCUAUACAUGAUAUGCAUUAUUGCUAAAGGUGUAUAUUUAGUCCAUUGGAGGAAGAAUUUCAAUUAUUUCAUUAACAAGAGACCACACUAUCCUUGGCCAGUUUCUUUUGUUGUACUGGGUUAUCCAAAUGGACUCAUGCAGAUGGGAGUGUAAUAGUGUGAUCCUUACUAUUUUGUUGCAUGUUAACCAUUUCUCCUGUUUGAAUGGUUAAUCACUGAUCUCUAGGCAUUGAAUACCAGUGAUCUGAAACCUUAUGAAGCUACAACUUGAGAGUAAUUUAGAUAAGGCCUACUAUCUAGCACACACAUCCCUAGAUAUUGUAGAAAGGGACUGGUUGGGUGUAUCCCCAGCCAUGUGGUUCAGGGAUAUCAUUUGGUUCUUGUUUUGUUGAGAUCAAAGGUAGAGAGGAUAGCCUAGUGUUUUUGUUUGGUUAAAGGGAUAACAAGUGGAUGGGUUAUUGUGAUGAUUUUUUAUGACUUGAUGAGAUUACCUUUUUGCACACAACCAUUAUUUCUGCAAACCAACUAAUUCUCACAUUCAUACAUGAGCUCUCAAGCACAAGAUAGGUCAAUUAGAUACAUGUAUAAGCAUCAAGAAAAUAAAAUUACACACACACACACACACAAAGACAUGCAAGUGUACAUCUGUUAUAUCUCACAUACAUGCACAUGUUUGGCUAAGAAAUAUAUGUGCGUCCAUUUUGUAUAGCGGUCUAUUCAUAAGUGUGCAUUUACAUGCAUCGUGGUCGUCAAGCUCCUAUCCUCUCUUGUGGCCAGAAAGAUGUAUAUCUAUAUGUUAUGAAACCCUGAUAAAAAAAAUGUAGGCUUUUGAAGUUGUGCUCCUUUCAGUGUUCAGUAUAUAGAAACUACAACCUGAACAUGGCUGCCUGUGUGUGUGUGUGGCCGUGCGGCUGUGUGGCUGUGUGCUAUGCAUGCUGCUUACUCAUUCCUAGCUGCUCGCACGCGCUCGUGUGCCUAUGGCCGUUUCUUGCCUGUUGCAUAUUUCUUGGCUGCUGUAACUAAGGUUGUAAGAAACUAAGUAGCCUGUACUCUAUCCUUCCGGCAUUCUGCAUGCUUCUUCUAUUGUGAACUUCGAAUCAUGGACAUCAAUGGCUUAUUACUAUCAUUUUCAUGGUUUCAUGUUGUCAUUUUUUUUGUUAGAUUUGUUAAAAUGCUGCUAAAAUUGAAUCUUAUAUGUCUUUUUCAGAUGAUAACUGAAGAAUGUUGACUCUGUUGUUGAUGCCUGGGCACUAAAUAGUUGUUUACUUUUGGGAACGUGGUAGUACUUGGCAAUAUGCAAAAUGUAUUAUCUUAUUUUGUAAUUCUAUAUGGUGUCAAUCAGAAUUGGAUUUGUGAGAUAUGCCGCAAAUGUAUGAACUUCAUCAGAUUUACAAAUGAUGGUCGAAUUUGGUAUGAGCUGUGUGCUGUGGUGAGAUAUAGAUUUAAUCAUUUCAGUACCAUGCCAAGAAUUUGGUAUCUAUUGUACUGAGUGGACUUGUUUGUUGGUAAGCAAACGACUUACGAAUGCACUUUCUGUCAGCAUGAAAAAUACUUAGUGGCACGUUAUCUGUUGGGAAGCGAAAUGACUUACCAACUCACGAUCUGUUGGCAAGUGAAAGACUUGGCAGCACAUUGCUUGUUGAAGCAAACUAACUUACCAACGCACAGUUUGUCGGUAAGAGAGACACUUAGUUACACACUGUCCGUCGGCAAGUGAUUGACUUGCCAGACGCAUAGGCUGUCGGCAAGAGAGACACUUAGCGACAUACAGUUUGUCAGCAAGUUAACUGUCUGUCGGUAAAUCUGACUCUUGACAGCUCAGAUGCGGACAGACGCGUUCUAACAAUUUGUGUGUCAGUAAAGGUUCAUGCAGACAUAUUGUGUGUCGGGAAAACCCGUUUUUGCCAACACACACGUGUGUUAGCUAUAGUG